rnacentral:tRNA from 1 species
GUAAAGUCAGCUAACU